UCGCCCCCGGCGACAAGGUAGCCAUCUGUGGCUGCCUUUCUCGAUGAGGUUUCUCAUUGGAGAAUAGUCAGGGGUGUUUUA
rnacentral:ncRNA from 1 species